rnacentral:rRNA from 1 species
GAUGAACGCUGGCGGCGUGCCUAAUACAUGCAAGUCGAGCGAACAGACGAGGAGCUUGCUCCUCUGACGUUAGCGGCGGACGGGUGAGUAACACGUGGAUAACCUACCUAUAAGACUGGGAUAACUUCGGGAAACCGGAGCUAAUACCGGAUAAUAUAUUGAACCGCAUGGUUCAAUAGUGAAAGACGGUUUUGCUGUCACUUAUAGAUGGAUCCGCGCCGCAUUAGCUAGUUGGUAAGGUAACGGCUUACCAAGGCAACGAUGCGUAGCCGACCUGAGAGGGUGAUCGGCCACACUGUAACUGAGAAACGGUCCAGACUCCUACGGGAGGAAGCAGUAGGGAAUCUUCCGCAAUGGGCGAAAGCCUGACGGAGCAACGCCGCGUGAGUGAUGAAGGUCUUCGGAUCGUAAAACUCUGUUAUUAGGGAAGAACAAAUGUGUAAGUAACUAUGCACGUCUUGACGGUACCUAAUCAGAAAGCCACGGCUAACUACGUG